rnacentral:lncRNA from 10 species
UCACUGCAACCUCUGCCUUCCAGGUUCAAGCAAUUCUCCUGCCUCAGCCUCCCAAGUAGCUGGGAUUACAGGCAUGCACUGCCACACCCAGCUAAUUUUUGUAUUUUUAGUAGAGAUGGGGUUUCACUAUAUAUUGGCCAGGCUGGUCUCGAACUCCUGACCUCAGGUGAUCCAUCUGCCUUGGUCUCCCAAAGUGCUGAGAUUACAGGCAUGAGCCACCAGACUCAGCCGGGAUGUCACUUCUGAGAGUAGGUUACGAAAGGACCCUGGCUUCCCUCCUGCUUGCCUCCUCUGGCUUGCUGGCUCUGACGAAGCCUCCCACCACUGUAUGAGCUGCCCUAUGAAGACACCCACAUGGCCAGGAACAUGAGAGAUGCCUUGGCCAACAGCUGUCGAGGAGCUAAGCCCCUCAGCCCAACAGGCCAUGAGGAACAGAAUCCUGCCAGCAUUCAGUUAUUUUCUCUUUGGCCUGGGGCCCUUGACAUACCCCUGUUUGGCUCGGAUAGAAGCAGAAAUACUAACACAGGCCGGGCUCCGGGUUGUUGGCCUCCACAAGGUGCAGUAUGAAGGCUGGUAAUUUUAUGAGAUUAUUAAAAUAAAAAUUCAAGCCUUGAAAAUUCUCAGAAAAGAACUCAAAAGCCACAAUUUUCAAGAUCCCUACUUCCCUGCUUAAAUCCUCCAGUAGCUUUGAACUGUUCAAGUAAAAUCCAAAACCCUUCCGGUGGCUGGCACCGCCCCCAGGGUGUCCCCCACCCACUAUCCCACCUCCCUUUCUGUUUCUCCUUCCCCCUGGUUUCUAGAAGCCUGUUCUCACCUGCCUGUGCCUGCCUCAGGGCAUUUGCACACGCCAUGCUCUCUGCCUGGGAUGUCUUUCUCCACCUCUUCCCAUGGUUGCUGGCUCCCUGCUAUUCAGGCCUCAGUUCAAAUGUCACCAACAGGGGGAGCCUGGCCCUGACCACCCACUCCCUGUCCCCGGACCCCUGGCACACUCAGUCACAUCUCCCUACUUUAUUUUUUUCAAAGCAUGCAUGGGUCACUAUCUGAAAUUAUCUUGUCCACUCAUGUCAUUUUUUGUUCUUGUUGUUAGACAGGCAGUUGAGUGUGAUGGUGAAGAGCCCUGGACUUUGGUUCAAAUCCUGCCUCCACUGCACAUGAGCUCUGCCCUUGUGCAAGUUUUCUAGCUUCUCUGAGUCUCAGCUUCUCCAUCUGUGAGGCACAAUAAGAAGUCACUGCAUCAUAAGACUGUUGGGAGGAUUUAGAGAAUAUAUAAAGGGCCUGGCCUAUGCCUGGAAUGUUGUUAAGUGAUCUGCAUAUAUGUUUGUUGUUGUUGUUGUUAUUCUCUGUCUCCCACUGCCCCUGGACAUAACCUCAGUGUGGGGUUCUGCUCAUUGCUCUAUUGCCAGCUCAGAGCCUGGCAUAUAGUGCAGUACGGUACAGGGUGCAGGUGGGGGUGUCAAUAAAUACUUCCUGAAAGAAAGAAAGAAAGAAAGAAAGAAAGAAAGAAAGAAAGAAAGAAGAAAGAAAGAAUGAAUGAAUGAAUAACUUGAAGUAAAAACUAAGAACACUGGCUUUGGCCAGAUGUUGUGGCUCAUGCCUCUAAUUCCAACAUCUUGGGAGGCUAAGGUAGGAGGAUCUCUUGAGGGCAGGAGUUCAAGACUAGCCUGGGCAACAUAGCAACAUUCUGUCUCUAUUGAUUUAUGUAUUGUUUUGUUUUUGUUGUUGUUGUUGUUUAAGGCAGGGUCUCACUCUGUCUCCCAGGCUGCAGUGCAGUGGCACAAUCACUGCUCACUGCAGCCUCAACCUCCUGAGCUCAGGUGAUUCUCCCACCUCAGC